GACGAACGCUGGCGGCGUGCUUAACACAUGCAAGUCGAACGGUAAGGCCCUUCGGGGUACACGAGUGGCGAACGGGUGAGUAACACGUGGGUGAUCUGCCCUGCACUUCGGGAUAAGCCUGGGAAACUGGGUCUAAUACCGGAUAGGACUCCUGGCUUCAUGGUUGGGGGUGGAAAGCUUUUGCGGUGUGGGAUGGGCCCGCGGCCUAUCAGCUUGUUGGUGGGGUAAUGGCCUACCAAGGCGACGACGGGUAGCAGGCCUGAGAGGGUGACCGGUCACACUGGGACUGAGAUACGGCCCAGACUCCUACGGGAGGCAGCAGUGGGGAAUAGUGCACAAUGGGCGCAAGCCGGAUGCAGCGACGCCGCGUGAGGGAUGACGGCCUUCGGGUUGUAAACCUCUUUCAGCCAUGACGAAGCGCAAGUGACGGUAGUAGCAGAGGAAGGACCGGCCAACUACGUGCCAGCAGCCGCCGUAA
rnacentral:rRNA from 1 species